rnacentral:ribozyme from 1 species
UGCCCAGCAACUCCUAUCCCUACCUUCUCGUGAUACUAGCCGGGGUACGAGUAACCUUAGAGAAGAUCGGGUACCCAACCCCAGUGGAAACUCUGGUCGUAUGCUGACAAGAAAGG